UCCCGUGACUUUAUGAUGUUU
rnacentral:piRNA from 1 species